rnacentral:rRNA from 1 species
AUUGAACGCUGGCGGCAGGCCUAACACAUGCAAGUCGAGCGAGCGGCGGACGGGUGAGUAAUGCCUGGGAAUUGCCCAGUCGAGGGGGAUAACAGUUGGAAACGACUGCUAAUACCGCAUACGAUUGGCUUGCCCAGGUGGGCUUAGCUAGUGGGUGAGGUAAUGGCUCACCAAGGCGACGAUGCCUAGCUGGUCUGAGAGGAUGAGCAGCCACACUGGAAUUGAGACACGGUCCAGUAUCCUACGGGAGACAGAAGUGGGGAAUAUUGCACAAUGGGGAAAACCAGGGUGAAGCAAUGCCGCGUAUGUGAAGAAGGCCUUCGGGUUGUAAAGCACGGUCAGCGAGGAGGCGGUAAUCGCAGAAGAAGCACCGGCUAACUCCGUGCCAGCAGCCGCGGUAAUAC